UUACCAGACAGCAGUGUUGCAGGGCUUCCUAGAUGGCUGGAGCAGCCCCAAGCAUCAGCCAGCAGGGAAGGCGCAGCAAAUAGCACCAGCACUUGGACGUGUGGUGCCUAAAUGCUGCACAGGGAGCACCACACGUCAGUGACACUGCCUGCUGGUGGUCAGGUACAGUGCACGGAUCUCCCGCUGUCAAGGCCUCCGCCGCCCGCCUGCUUCCGUCCGGGAGAGAGAGGACACUGCCGUGUCCGCCCGGAGUCCCGGCUGUGAGCUCCGAAGCCAUGCUGAUUGAAGGGGAGCAGGGGAUGCUGCAGAGAUGUCCAGGGACAAGCGGCCCGAUCCCCCCCUUCCCUCAGAAGAAUUUUCCCUGCACAGCAAUGAGGAGUGGGAGCCGACCCAGGAGGAGGAUACGACCGACCAGGCAUGCAGUGACCAGCCGCGGUCGUCAAGGGACCAAAGGGAGAAGCAAAAGAAAAAGAAAAGGCCUAGACAGGAAAGAAGCCAGCCAGAGGAUCAGUCGGAGGAGAAAGCCUCUGGUGAAGACGCAGGACAGAAGAAGCCGCGUGGACCCAGAUACACUGAGGCGGAAAACUGUGCCCUAGUGAAUGGCGUCGACAGGUCCUACGACGUUCUGUAUGGACCAAGGGCACAGAGCACAGCAGCUAAGACCAAGCGAAACAUCUGGGAUGCCAUCGCGAGACAAGUCACUGCAGUAUCUGGAAACCGCCGGAGCACCAGAAACUGCAUGAAGCGGUACAGUGAUUGCCGCAGACAGACCAAGAAGAUGGGGAUUCAGUGCCGACAUGAGACAGCUACGGGAGGUGGUCCGGCUCUCAAUCUGAAGUGGCUACCCUGGGAGAACGUUAUUUAGAAGGCGCAUGAACCCUGUUAUAGUCCAAGGAGUUCGCGGAGGUGUGGACUCCAGCCGUCCUGCUGGCUUUCCCGAGGAGGAAGAACCGCCCAGAAGACGGAAGACGGCGGGAGACAAGCAGUCCAAAAGGAGGC